rnacentral:tRNA from 1 species
GUUGUGGCUCAGUGGUAGAGCGCUUGCCUAGCAUGUGUGAGGCACUGGGUUCUAUUCCCAGCACUACA